AUGGACAUACCCGGGGAACAAGGAACCUCAGCUAAGAAGUUGCCUCAUCAGAUUGGCCAAUUUGGCUGUAUUGGGCACCUGGUUACCAGGGCUGCCUUCUGCUCUGCACUUGGCAAAGUGGAAGUUGUUGCCAUCAACGACCCCUUCACUGACCUCAACUACAUGGUCUACACAGUACGACUCCACCCAUGGCAAAUUCAACGGCAUAGUCAAGGCCGAGAAUGGGAAGCUUGUAAUCAAUGGGAAGCCCAUCACCAGCUUCCAGGAGCAAGAUCCCACUAACAUCAGAUGGGGUGAUGCCGGUGCUGAGUAUGUCGUGGAGUCUACUGGAAUCUUCACCACCAUGGAGAAGGCUGGGGCCCAUGUGAAGGGGGGGGCCAGAAGGGUCAUCACCUCCACCCCUUCUGCUGAUGCCCCCAUGUUUGUGAUGGGUGUGAACCAUGAGAAAUAUGGCAACUCACUCAAGAUUGUCAGCAACGCAUCCUGCACCACCAACUGCUUAGCCCCCUUGGCCAAGGUCAUCCAUGACAACUUUGGCAUUGUGGAAGGACUCAUGACCAUGAUCCAUGCCAUCCUUGCCACUCAGAAGACUGUGGAUGGCCCCUCUGGAAAGCUGUGGUGUGAUGGCCGUGGGGCUGCCCAGAACAUCAUCUCUGCAUCCACUGAUGCUGCCAAGGCUGUAGGCAAGGUCAUCCCAGAGCUGAACAGGAAGCUCACUGGCAUGGCCUUCCGUGUUCCUACCCCCAAUGUAUCCAUUGUGGAUCUGACGUGCCGCCUGGAGAAACUUGCCAAAUAUGAUGACAUCAAGAAGCCAUAA